rnacentral:ncRNA from 1 species
CCUGUUGAGCUUGACUCUAGUCCGACUUUGUGAGGAGACAUGAUGGAUGUAGUAUAGGUGGGAGCUGGGUGCUUCGGUGUCCAGCGCAAAUGAAAUACCACUGCUAUCAUUGUUUCUUUACUUAUUCAGUGAAACGGGAACGAAAUUGUAUUUUGGUUCAAAGCACAUUUCGGGGUGCGUGGUCUAUCGCUGCGUGCUUUGAUAUCUUGGUCAUGUCAGAUGAGUCGUGGUGCAAAUUGCGGUGUUUGAGUCUUGAUGUGAUGUGCGACCCGUUCUGAAGACCAUGUCAGGCGGGGAGUUUGACUGGGGCGGUACAUCCGUCAAAUGGUAACGCGGGUGUCCUAUGGUGAGCUCAGUCAGGACAGAAACCUGGCGUAGAGUAAAAGGGCAAAAGCUUACUUAGAAACAGCUAUCUCACCCCGGUAGUUGUGCCGUGCUUCGAUGUAGCCUCUUCUCCAGAAGGGCCUACUAGGCUUCACCAACUAGUUUGGCUGGAAGGGGCACCACAGG